GCCCGUGUAGCUCAGUGGUAGAGCAUUGUACUUAUGAGGUUAUCCUAUCCCAGCUAAUGCAAGGGUCUCCAGUUCAAUCCUGGGCAUGGGCA